AGCACUCUUAAUUCUGAGAGACAGAACCCAAUCACACUCUUUAAAGAGCUGUCGUGAUCUUCACUCAAAGUCACAGUCCAUGUCCCAGUCUUGGCAUGAUUUGUAAUUCAGCUGCUGAACCGUCCUUCGCUGUCCGAAGGCAGCCGCCGACCCAGCCAUGCUUUCAAGCCGCGCCGCCCGCGUGCCAGGCGCUGGCGGGGGUCUGGGGGGCUCUGGGGGGUCCGGGCUGCCCUGGCCGGCGCUCCGCAGCGGAGCCGCUCGGAAGGCUCUGGGCCCGGUCCGGCCGCCCGCGGAGGGGCCCGGGGGCGGCUUGCUUGGCGGCUUCCCUCGGGGUCUCGUUUCGUCUCGCGGCUUCCCAGGUGCCUCGGCGCAUGGCAGGCAGUCGAAAGAGGGCGUGCUUUCCUGCCUCUUUCUCCGGGCCGAGCGCGCUCUCCGGAGCCGCAGGCGCUGGGCACAGCCCAGACCCACCCCCGAGGUGAAGCCCAGGGGGCCGACUCCGGCCAACUAGCCACGCCGGACGCCCGGACCCGCCGCGGCUCCCGCCUCCCCGCCAAACAGGCUUGAGGCGGGAAUGGGCCUACAGAUAGGCCCCAUCUCACUCCUGUCGGCCAAUUAAAGUGCAGGGACCUCCAGACCGAGAGGGUUCACGACAGACUAGUUGCCCUGAUCCAGGAACCAGCUGCCCGGACCGCGAUGCCGCCACCAAACGGACAGGCGGGACGGAUGCUACUGGGCAUGCGCGAAAGUCCGAGGCGGCGCGCCCGCGCGCGCCCCUGGCGGUCACUGGGCCUCAGUGCGGCUGCGGCGCUCGGCUCCCCUCCCCGGCCACGCUCGGCUUCUGGCCCCGCCCCUUCCUCCGCGCGGUGUUGAUUGACGGCAGGCGGGGCUCGAGGGCAGGUGCGUGAAGCUGUCAUCAGCGCUACUACGGAGUCUGGAUCCUCCCGAAGGCACAGAGAGGCGAGCCGGCCUGGCCUCGGUCUCCGAGUUCUCCUGCGCCUUCUCUCCCACUCCAGGCCACGUGGACGCGACGAGCUGGUUUGUCAGUAAGCACAUCUCUUCCUAAAAUUCUCCAGAACAUGAGGAUUCGAGCCCGUACGCCCAACCCUGGCUUGCUGCUAACGCUGGCUUGUUAGAGGGGGUAAGCGAGCUGGCCAUGGACCUAGGUAUGCUUUCAGUGGC